GAUCAUGGCUCAGGAUAAACGCUGGCGGCGCACAUAAGACAUGCAAGUCGAACGGACUUAAUCGAUUCUUUUAGAUUCGAAGCGGUUAGUGGCGGACUGGUGAGUAACACGUAAGCAACCUGCCUGUUAGGAGGGGAAUAACAGUGAGAAAUCACUGCUAAAACCGCAUAUGCCGUGAACAUCGCAUGAUGAAAACGGGAAAGGGCAAUCUGCUAAUAGAUGGGCUUGCGU
rnacentral:rRNA from 1 species